UCAAAAAAUAACAGUCGCAGUCGACGGCACAUACAAAUUUUUUGAAUUCAAAUUCUUUAAAAUCUAAGUUUUGCAUUUAAAUCUAGUCAUUGAAUAUUUCUCAUUAACAAAAUACAAAAUUUUAUCUCUUAAACUUAACUGAAUGUUUUCGUAUUUAUUGCAGAUUUAAUGGUCAUUCAUCAUAAAAUCUUUUAAGAAUCUGUAUGAAAAUCCAAAAUAAGUCGAGAAACUAAAGCCACGUCCUCCAACAAAUUAAACUCAGUUCCCAGUUUAUCUUCAACAUAAUUAUAUUUUCCUUAACAAAUAUCGCAUAUGGUAGUCAGUUCCCUAUCUCAUUCCCAGCGCCGGCGUGUCCUUUUGCGCCGUGGACCAGCCGAGCUCCUUGUCCUUAUCAUGAUCCACUGGCACCUUGUCGAUGGCAUCCAGUAUAAACUGGAUGGAAUGCGCCGUCCGUGGCAGCCACUCCAUGAUACGAGAGGUGGUCGAGACGGGCGGUGUCGCUGCAUCGCCGUCAUCCACGAAAUCCGCAUCUCCGCCGGACAACGAACGAACUCCACCCAGGUAAUCCGUGUAGUCGUAAUCACUGGUCAGCGGAUUCACCUUGGAGUAGUAAAUGGCAGCGAACGUCGAGUAGAUAAUCAGCAGUGCUGUGCCCACCUAUAAGUUUUAUAUACAUAUUUAAAACGAUUAUAUUACACAUUGCACUCAUAUACUUUAUGUAUUUUCACUCACCU
ensembl:ncRNA asRNA:CR46070 antisense RNA:CR46070